CAAGCGUUGUUCGGAAUUACUGGGCGUAAAGGGCGCGUAGGCGGCCUGCUAAGUCGAACGUGAAAUCCCUGGGCUCAACCCAGGAACUGCGUCCGAUACUGGUUGGCUUGAAUCCGGGAGAGGGACGUGGAAUUCCAGGUGUAGCGGUGAAAUGCGUAGAUAUCUGGAGGAACACCGGUGGCGAAGGCGACGUCCUGGACCGGCAUUGACGCUGAGGCGCGAAAGCCAGGGGAGCAAACGGG
rnacentral:rRNA from 1 species